GCGGCGCUCCCGCCUGUCGUCCGCUGCAGGGAAAGGAACGAGCGAUUUGGGGAUUCUUUGGUUGAUCAAUCGAAAGAUCAGGUUCUGCCCAGCCAGGUUAUUUGCCAAACGGUACAAGUACUGUAUUCCUCUAUGUACUGGUGUUAAAGAAAAUAAUAGAGCUGUAAAGAGGGAAAGAGGGCAAAUUAGAAAUGAAUCAAAUCUAAUGUGUGGAAAAUUAUCAAAGGCUAAGUAAUGUGUGCCAAAUUAUAGAAGUCUAAAGUAAAACGUGGCAAAUAGUAAAAUCUCCCUGCAUCCUCCAGGUCAAUUAACAGUUCGUAAACUCUCGCUCCCAUCUGUCAUCUACACGUCUCACUUCACAUGGUUUACUUUAGAAUAUUCAAUCUUCUUCAGGAAACGUAUAUAUGGUAGUAUUGUUCAUUUCUUUCACUUGCAGCCCGCAGGAGCAUUCUUCAGACCUUUGCAAGAGGCCAGGCUGUCCAUGAUCAUGUUCUGAAGAAAGAUGAAGAAGGGAUUGUGCAACGAUGACAAGGUGCAGAGGCUCGCACGGCAGCAUUGACUCGAAGUAUUCACCCACGGCACCACAACGGUCACAACCUUACUACUAGGCUCCACUACGAGAGCAAGCCAUCUUUCUUCUACCGGUAAUCUGGUAUGUUAUUUACUGGAUAGAUUUUUUGAACUUUUCAGCCAAUGUUUAGCUUCAUUUAUGUUGAGCAUGUUGACUCUUGAUCAGAAGGAGGUUGUGUGUUUACAAUAUUGCAUAAGAAGCAUUUUCUCUGAGUUAGUUUCUUGCAACCAAUAGAUUGUAAUUGGUUCCGUGAUUUUUUUAUUUGUAUAACACCUUCUUUUUUAUACAAGGCAAUGUAGAUUUUUUUGAAGAAAGGGGAUGAACACAGCGUAUCGAAUUCUGUCCGUUGUUUGCUGCUUCUUAGCAGCAUAUCAUGUUCCUUUCGCAGAACAAAGUAGCAAAGGUCCUCACUGUUACCAGUUCAAUUGUAGCUUCAUCUACUGGUUUGGUGGAAACACGAAAGCAAGGAUUGGUAAUUAAUUUCCGAAUUGUAUGGGAAGAUUAUUGCUAUAUAAAAAACCAUUUUACUGAUCAACAAGAUGCACCAAACUGUUUUUAGUUGAUACUUGAUAGUCUUUCCAUUUGCCGACCACCAUAUUUUGUACAUACUUCUUGAUUUGUGAAAUUCUACGUGUUGGUCCGAUAUCUUGUGUAUGCAAAAAUCGUACACUUUUGGUGUCAUUUCUAAUUGCUCUUAAUACAGAAUUAGAGGACAGUGAAUUGUUUGUUCAUAUUUCACUAACCACCUCCUUAGUUGUUUUACCUUAUAGAAUUACUGACCUUUUAAUCAGAGUGAAAAUUCUACCGGAUGCUUUAAGCCUUUAAUUACCCGUCUAAUAAUAUGAUUACCUAAACAAAAAAUAACCACAGGAUGUUUCAGUGCCCUCUAUGUGUUGCACAGAGAAUAAAAUGCGUGUGUGUGUGCCUGUGUGUGUGUGUUAUUUUACUCUUGCAAUCCUUUUCCACUGAAUUGCAAGGCUCCAGCUAAUACUGCAGAUUUAUUCUAGGAACAAAAUUUGUAAGUACAUGCUAAAAAAUAUUCCUAAUAUCUUUUCCAUUUAUACUGAAUUGGUUGGUUAGUUACUUUGCCCUCUUCAUUGCCACCCGUCUCUGUUUUAAAUUUCCAUAUAUCAGCAAGCAAAGCAACACGUUCAGACACCAACUAUUCCAUUUCUAUUAUCUUCUAUAAUACUCCUACUGAGCCUUUGCCUUUGCCUUUGCCUUCACCUCCCAAUUGAUUUAGAUGAAAUUUUCUAUCUUGCUUCGUCAGGUUUUAUUCAAAAAUUGUUCUGGCAUUACUGCUUAUUGUUUGUUGUCAACUAGAGUACUACUGAUAGGAUUUUCUGAAAUCAAUUGGUUGAUAAACUAUCCUAUUACGACGCUUAGAUUAAGCUUUAUUUAUGUAAAUCAUUGCAGGUCAUCUUCACCGCCUUAGCCCUUCACAGUGAUGGUAUGUCUCUUCUGCUUGCCUAAAUAACAAAUCAGUGACUCCAUAAAGAGCUAUAUAUAGGUAUUCCAAUGCUAGAUGUGUUACUACCAAUGCUUUGUGCAUUCAUUGGUCAUACAUUCGUUACCUCAACACCUGGUGAGCUCUUGAAAAAGAUUUCACCGUCUACAGCUGCCAGAUUUCAUAUUGUAAGCUGCUCUUAGAAUGUAAUGCAAAUACUGACAAAUAAGGUCAACCAGUCACUAAAUUCUCUCUCCGUUUAUACCAACCAAAGACAGCUAUUGGCUAUGUUAUCUUAAACCUUUAUUUGCAUUGGAGCCUAGAAUAUACUUCAGAUUCGUUGUUCCAUUUUAUGGUAUCUCUGCUGAGUGUUACAUUUCACCAAGAUGUUUGAUUUAGAAGCUAUCCAAAAAAAAAGUCUUGGCAGUGGUCUUGCAUCCUAAGACUGACACCUAUUUUGCAGACCUGCGACGUGUAUGUGUGUUUGCCAAGAAAAAUAUGCAUGUUUGGGUUAGAGUUAAAUUGUUGAAUGACAUUGUGUUUGCCAAGGAUGGAUUUUCAGUGGUGAAGUGGAGUUAUAUAGUGGUUAUCCGAAUAUGGCUCGAUUGGGUGUGGGGUCACUCAGAUCAUUCAUCUCAAGUUAGCUGAUCUGCCGUGCAGCCUAAAUUGCGCCAAUUAUUGAGUACAUCCUCAGCUUAUUUGCUUUGGUCAAAACACAUGGAACAUAGCUUCAUAGAUUGAACAUGUUAUACCAACUUUGCGGCGAGUUAAGAUGUUGCUAUCUUAUCUCAUAGAUUGAACAUAGCUUUCCUCGGACAGCAGUUGCAAAUGUCCACUAUUCUCCAUAUCUAUACAUUCCAGGACUAUUUUAGAUGGAGUGCGGCCUAUUUAGCUCAAGCUAUGUUAACUUUUCAGAAACUAUUUGAUGCACAAGAGAAUUUAUUAGUGUUGGUGUAUAGUAGUUGGAAUUUAAUUACUGCUUAGUGUUUAACUUAGUUGUUGACAUGAACUACAGGACCAAGAUAGUGUUCAGACAACUAUAUGUAUAUGCACAAGAUAGUUGUUGUAUUUAGUGUUUAAGUUGCUGUUAGAGCUGAUCAAAAGACAAAACAUCUAAACCCAAGUAUUUGGAGAUGGCAGUUACUUUAAUGUGUUUUCCGUUGCCUAAGGAGGUUGUAAUCAAGUUGCUAUUUUUUUCGUUUGCUUUACCUGCCUUUUGUAAUUCCUAUUGUAACCAGCUAAUUUAGUAAAACAUACAGUUUCUCCCUGUUCA